rnacentral:rRNA from 1 species
UACGUAGGGUGCGAGCGUUAAUCGGAAUUACUGGGCGUAAAGUGUGCGCAGGCGGCCGAGCAAGUCGAGUGUGAAAGCCCCGAGCUUAACUUGGGAACUGCGCUCGAAACUACUUGGCUAGAGUGUGGCAGAGGGAGGUGGAAUUCCACGUGUAGCGGUGAAAUGCGUAGAGAUGUGGAGGAACACCGGUGGCGAAGGCGGCAUCCUGGACCGGCAUUGACGCUGAGGCGCGAAAGCCAGGGGAGCAAACGGG